CAGCCGCCGCGGGAAUACAGAGGCCUCAAGCGUUGUUCGGAUUCAUUGGGCGUAAAGGGUGCGUAGGCGGUCGGGUAAGUCGGAUGUGAAAUCCUGGGGCUCAACCUCAGAACUGCAUUCGAUACUGCUUGGCUAGAGGACUGGAGAGGAGAUCGGAAUUCACGGUGUAGCAGUGAAAUGCGUAGAUAUCGUGAGGAAGACCAGUGGCGAAGGCGGAUCUCUGGACAGUUCCUGACGCUGAUGCACGAAGGCUAGGGGAGCAAACGGGAUUAGAUACCCCUGUAGUCCCUGUCUCUUAUAC
rnacentral:rRNA from 1 species